rnacentral:rRNA from 1 species
UACGGGGGGAGCAAGCGUUGUUCGGAUUUACUGGGCGUAAAGGGCGCGUAGGCGGCCACCGCAAGUCGACUGUGAAAUCUCCGGGCUUAACCCGGAAAGGUCAGCCGAUACUGCGGGGCUAGAGUGCAGAAGGGGCAACUGGAAUUCUCGGUGUAGCGGUGAAAUGCGUAGAUAUCGAGAGGAACACCUGCGGCGAAGGCGGGUUGCUGGGCUGACACUGACGCUGACAGCGCGAAAGCCAGGGGAGCAAACGGG